rnacentral:rRNA from 1 species
UACGUAGGGUGCAAGCGUUAAUCGGAAUUACUGGGCGUAAAGCGUGCGCAGGCGGCUUUGCAAGACAGAUGUGAAAUCCCCGGGCUUAACCUGGGAACUGCAUUUGUGACUGCAAAGCUAGAGUGCGGUAGAGGGGGAUGGAAUUCCGCGUGUAGCAGUGAAAUGCGUAGAUAUGCGGAGGAACACCGAUGGCGAAGGCAAUCCCCUGGACCUGCACUGACGCUCAUGCACGAAAGCGUGGGGAGCAAACAGG